rnacentral:tRNA from 1 species
AAGGGCAGAGCAAGAACUGCUAAUUCAUGCAUCCGAAAUUAAAACUUCGGCUCCCUUA